AUGUAUGUACUGUGGGCUGUGGGCUCAGUUAGGGCCUGGGUUCCAAAAUUCAGCUUAAUGCAGGAGACUAGACCCUUUGGAGUUGGUUGUAGUUUUAUAGCAAAAGAAGUGAGAGUGAAUAAUGCAUUUUAGGUAGUGGGACAAAAAUAAGUUGCUUGAGGCAAAACCCGAAUGAUGAUACUGGCUUUAAAGAAUAUGAUCUUAAUAAGGAAAGCUUUAUGAUGGUUAUGAUGGUAUCCCAAAGCAGUGGCAGCACCAGCCCCGUCUACAACCCAGUGAUCGAAUCCUGCCACUGCUGCUGCAGUUGUUUCAACUAUAACAGCAGCUGUGGCUCAAGUCCCAGCCUCUGUCUUUGCUUUGCUUGCCACUUGUGCGGCUGUACCCAUCACUCCAGCAUCAAAGACAGUAUCUUCUGCACCUGCACCUAGUAGUGCAACUAAACAAGAGAAACUUGCAGAAAAGUCAGUGAGAACAUCAGUGAUUAGUAGCCCAAUAUCAACUGAGAACUCAUUAGAAGAUUUUUCUCUGGAAAACAUUUUGAAGAUGCAUCAAGAACAUUAAUGACAGAUUGACCUUAUAAAAAUAGGGUAAUGAGAUCAUGUAAACAUGUUAUGACCAGGAACAAAUAAUUACAGCUCUCAAAACUAGUUUCAACAACGCUGGCAGAGCAGUAAAGUAUCUUUUCUUUUCUUUACCAAAUAUCUUUUAAUGGGAAGUCCUGGAAAAAUAGAAAGCAAGGCUAUAGUUGAACCUCCUUAAGUGGCUAGUACUGGACUCCUCCAUCUUCACCAGAGGCAACAGCUGCAGCAACUACAGCAGCACCUUCUAGAGGAUCUGCCCUUGAAUUUUGAUGGAAUCAGCCUCAGUUUCAAUACAGGAUAUACAACACUUAACAGAAUCUGUCCCUGCUUCCAGUAUUGCUACCUCAGAUAGGUCAAGAGACUCCUCAAUGAUUGGUACAAAUUAGCCAACCUUGGGAACAUUUAUUGAAAUGCCAAAUGGACCAGUCCUAGAAGCUAGUGGAGGAGUGGUUGGAAGUGGCAGUGGAGGAGCCGAUGAGGCAAAAGUGUGCUUAACCACAUUCAAGCAUUGCCCCAGGAAACAGACACCAGAGAAAGGUCAACUGCAUCAGGAUUUCCUGAGGGACUCGUG
rnacentral:lncRNA from 1 species